rnacentral:rRNA from 1 species
GACAGCGGCUUUGACACGUUGAAUACACCAGUUCUCGUUGGAUCACUGAAGUUAAGCAACAUCGAGCGUGGAUAGUACUUGGAUGGGUGACC